rnacentral:rRNA from 1 species
UGCAAGUCGAACGGUAGAAGGGGCAACCCUUCGAGAGUGGCGAACGGGUGAGUAAUGCAUCGGAACGUGCCCAGUCGUGGGGGAUAGCCCGGGGAAACCCGGAUUAAUACCGCAUACGACCUGAGGGUGAAAGCGGGGGACCGAAAGGCCUCGCGCGAUUGGAGCGGCCGAUGUCGGAUUAGGUAGUUGGUGGGGUAAAGGCCUACCAAGCCUGCGAUCCGUAGCUGGUCUGAGAGGACGACCAGCCACACUGGGACUGAGACACGGCCCAGACUCCUACGGGAGGCAGCAGUGGGGAAUUUUGGACAAUGGGGGCAACCCUGAUCCAGCCAUGCCGCGUGCGGGAAGAAGGCCUUCGGGUUGUAAACCGCUUUUGUCAGGGAAGAAAUGUCCUGGGUUAAUACCCUGGGGGGAUGACGGUACCUGAAGAAUAAGCACCGGCUAACUACGUGCCAGCAGCCGCGGUAAUACGUAGGGUGCGAGCGUUAAUCGGAAUUACUGGGCGUAAAGCGUGCGCAGGCGGUUAUACAAGACAGAUGUGAAAUCCCCGGGCUCAACCUGGGAACUGCAUUUGUGACUGUAUAGCUGGAGUACGGUAGAGGGGAGUGGAAUUCCGCGUGUAGCAGUGAAAUGCGUAGAUAUGCGGAGGAACACCGAUGGCGAAGGCAGCUCCCUGGACCUGUACUGACGCUCAUGCACG